rnacentral:rRNA from 1 species
AGUCGAACGAGACUUUCCUUGGUGGUAACACCUUUGAUUGUCUAGUGGCGAACGGGUGAGUAACACGUGAGAAACCUGCCCUGAAGACGGGGAUAACAGAAGGAAACUUCUGCUAAUACCCGAUACCCCCACCGGAUCGCAUGGUCUGGUGAGGAAAUGGAUUCCGCUUCAGGAGGGUCUCGCGGCCUAUCAGCUUGUUGGUGAGGUAAUGGCUUACCAAGGCUUGGACGGGUAGCUGGUCUGAGAGGACGAUCAGCCACACUGGGACUGAGACACGGCCCAGACUCCUACGGGAGGCAGCAGUAAGGAAUAUUGCGCAAUGGGCGAAAGCCUGACGCAGCAACGCCGCGUGCGGGAAGAAGGCCCUCGGGUUGUAAACCGCUUUCAGAAGGAACGAAACUGACGGUACUUUCAGAAGAAGGUGCGGCCAACUACGUGCCAGCAGCCGCG